rnacentral:misc_RNA from 1 species
AAGUCGUAACAAGGUAACCGUAGGUGAACCUGCGGUUGGAUCAUUAACAAAUUCAAACCCGAAAAGGUUAGAAGGGGUUCUGCCUCUCUAACUUUUUUACACACAAUGUGAACCGUUUAUUGUCUCUGGUGGUGUUUAAAAGGGCUUCAUUUAUUUGAAGUUGGGGGUUUUGGGAAAUUUAUUUUCUCACACCCUUACCCACCGAUUUUUAAAAUCUUAUCCUUCUUAACUGGUCUUUAAAAAUUAAAAAAAAAGUUAAAUUAAAAAACAACUUUUGGCAACGGAUCUCUAGGCUCUU